AGUGGGGAAUAUUGCACAAUGGGCGCAAGCCUGAUGCAGCCAUGCCGCGUGUGUGAAGAAGGCCUUAGGGUUGUAAAGCACUUUCAGUCGUGAGGAAAGGUGUGUGCUUAAUACGUACAUACUGUGACGUUAGCGACAGAAGAAGGACCGGCUAACUCCGUGCCAGCAGCCGCGGUAAUACGGAGGGUCCGAGCGUUAAUCGGAAUUACUGGGCGUAAAGCGCGCGUAGGUGGAUUGGUCAGUCAGAUGUGAAAGCCCAGGGCUCAACCUUGGAACUGCAUCUGAUACUGCUAGUCUAGAAUACAGUAGAGGGUAGUGGAAUUUCCUGUGUAGCGGUGAAAUGCGUAGAUAUAGGAAGGAACACCAGUGGCGAAGGCGACUACCUGGACUGAUAUUGACACUGAGGUGCGAAAGCGUGGGGAGCAAACAGGAUUAGAUACCCUGGUAGUCCACGCCGUAAACGAUGUCUACUAGCCGUUGGAAGACUUGAUCUUUUAGUGGCGAAGCUAACGCGAUAAGUAGACCGCCUGGGGAGUACGGCCGCAAGGUUAAAACUCAAAUGAAUUGACGGGGGCCCGCACAAGCGGUGGAGCAUGUGGUUUAAUUCGACGCAACGCGAAGAACCUUACCAACUCUUGACAUCCAGAGAAGAGGCUAGAGAUAGCUUUGUGCCUUCGGGAGCUCUGAGACAGGUGCUGCAUGGCUGUCGUCAGCUCGGGUUGUGAAAUGUUGGGGUAAGUCCCGUAACGAGCGCAAC
rnacentral:rRNA from 1 species